GGGGGAAUCUUAGACAAUGGGGGCAACCCUGAUCUAGCCAUGCCGCGUGAGUGACGAAGGCCUUAGGGUCGUAAAGCUCUUUCGCUGGGGAAGAUAAUGACGGUAACCGGAGAAGAAGCCCCGGCUAACUUCGUGCCAGCAGCCGCGGUAAUACGAAGGGGGCUAGCGUUGUUCGGAAUUACUGGGCGUAAAGCGCACGUAGGCGGAUCGUUAAGUGAGGGGUGAAAUCCCAGGGCUCAACCCUGGAACUGCCUUUCAUACUGGCGAUCUUGAGUUCGAGAGAGGUGAGUGGAAUUCCGAGUGUAGAGGUGAAAUUCGUAGAUAUUCGGAGGAACACCAGUGGCGAAGGCGGCUCACUGGCUCGAUACUGACGCUGAGGUGCGAAAGCGUGGGGAGCAAACAGGAUUAGAAUACCCUGGUAGUCCACGCCGU
rnacentral:rRNA from 1 species